rnacentral:rRNA from 1 species
ACUGGGCGUAAAGCGCAUGCAGGUUGGUUUUGUUUAAGUCAGAUGUGAAAGCCCGGGGCUCAACCUCGGAAUUUGCAUUUGAAACUGGCAAACUAGAGUACUGUAGAGGGGGUAGAAUUUCAGGUGUAGCGGUGAAAUGCGUAGAGAUCUGAAGGAAUACCGGUGGCGAAGGCGGCCCCCUGGACAGAUACUGACACUCAGAUGCGAAAGCGUGGGGAGCAAACAGGAUUAGAUACCCUGGUAG